GCGCCGAUGGGGUAGUGGUAACCUGGGUCGUUGCCAUGUCGAGACUCGAAGACAAUCCGAGACUUCGACCCGCCGGGGGUUCGAUUCCCCCUCGGCGCA